rnacentral:tRNA from 1 species
CCUGCACCGGCACCUGGGUUUCCAGUUCGGCCUUCUUGAUGCGGGUGCCGGUGACCUGGAUCGUGUCCAGGGUGCGGGC